rnacentral:piRNA from 1 species
UGUCAAGUCCAAAAUGGAGGCACAGU